rnacentral:rRNA from 1 species
GAGGUUAAGCGACUAAGCGUACACGGUGGAUGCCCUGGCAGUCAGAGGCGAUGAAGGGCGUGCUAAUCUGCGAUAAGCGCCGGUAAGGUGAUAUGAACCGUUAUAACCGGCGAUACCCGAAUGGGGAAACCCAGUGUGACUCGUCACACUAUCAUUAACUGAAUCCAUAGGUUAAUGAGGCGAACCGGGGGAACUGAAACAUCUAAGUACCCCGAGGAAAAGAAAUCAACCGAGAUUCCCCCAGUAGCGGCGAGCGAACGGGGAGGAGCCCAGAGCCUGAAUCAGCAUGUGUGUUAGUGGAAGCGUCUGGAAAGGCGCGCGAUACAGGGUGACAGCCCCGUACACAAAAGCGCAUGUGCUGUGAGCUCGAUGAGUAGGGCGGGACACGUGGUAUCCUGUCUGAAUAUGGGGGGACCAUCCUCCAAGGCUAAAUACUCCUGACUGACCGAUAGUGAACCAGUACCGUGAGGGAAAGGCGAAAAGAACCCCGGCGAGGGGAGUGAAAAAGAACCUGAAACCGUGUACGUACAAGCAGUGGGAGCCCCAC